AAUGCGCUGGGGUCCCAUUCCGUGUUGUGGGGUGUUUUUUCUUUAGCUCUUCGCAAUAAAUCUUGCUGCUGCUCACUCUUUGGGUCCACGCCCCUUUAUGAGCUGUAACACUCACCGCGAAGGUCUGCAGCUUCACUCCUGAAGUCAGCAAGACCACAAACCCACCAGGAGGAACGACCAACUCCGGACGGCCACCUUUAUGAACUUUAACACUCACCGCGAAGGUCUGCAGCUUCACUCCUGAAGUCAGGGAGACCACGAACCCACUAGGAGGAAGAAACUCGGGACUCGCCUGAACAUCGGAAGGAACAAACUCCAGACACACCAUCUUUUAAGAACUGUAACACUCACCGCGAGAGUUUGCGGCUUCAUUCUUGAAGUCAGCGAGAUCAAGAACCCACCAAUUCCAGACACAAUACCUUACAGACUCUGAAUGUUCAGUAUUACUUUAUUUCCUUCCAAUCAUAAAUGUUAAACUGAUAGAGAUUUCAAGUUCUAUAUGUUGAUAAGUUGCAUAAGAUAAUUUCGGCUUUAUGUUUUGACAUUAUUUUCAUGUAGGUAUUUUAUAGAUUAGCAUAAAAUAUUACGUAUUUUUAUAAUUUGAAAAGAUAUUGAAAACUGUGUUUUACUUUUUCUGGCUUUUAUUUUUAUUCUUGAACACCAUGGUCAAUUGCUUUUUUACUUUCAUUUCUCAACUUGUUUGGACAAAUUUUGCAAAGAUAUUCUUACCCUUGGCCUCUCCCGACAAAUUCCUCUCAUAAGUAAAUAUUAUCUUGAGAAUAUGUGGACUCUUAUGUAGAAAAAGAACAACAUAAACUCAAUGUUUAUUAAAAAACGUGAGAUUACAAAUGACUUUUUUAAAAAGGGAAUCAAAUUUCAUUUCAGGAAACUUACUAGAAAAAAAUUCUUAUGAACACCUAAACUAGUGUAAGUGUGUUAUUCUGUGAAAACGUAAUUCCUUAUUUCAAAAAUAGUUUCUAAUAAAAGAACCUGGAUUAUAUAGCUACUCAAGUUGAACAGAUGAUCACAAAGAACCUUAACUGUAACCAUAUUUAGCUAUCAAAAAUGGAAAAGAAAUUUUGGUUAUAGUUCUCUGUCCCACAUUCAAUUUAAAAGAAUAAUGGCUAUUUGUUAUCAAAGUAUUUUAAUACAUUUCUUAUGUCUGCCCAUCUAAAAUGAAAACUUUUAUUUCCAUAAAGUUUUGUAUAACAUGUCUUAAAUGAAUGUGCAGUCAAAACUGCAUUCGGUUACUAAAGGAACUAAUAAUUCAUAAAUUGCAUUUAUUUGUAUGUUACUAACAUUAAAAAGAGAUGUUUUGUCAUGUUUAUAAUGAUCGUCAUGUAUAUAAUGAUAUGUUUAUAAUGAUGACAUCAUCAUCAUUGUAAGAUUAGCUAAACUCUUUGUCCUUCAGUAUAAAAAUUAAAGCCAGUAUAUUAUUUUU
rnacentral:lncRNA from 1 species